UUAUUUAUUUAAAAUUAUAUAUUUUCAUAUUUAAUAGAUAUCCAGGAACUUCUUGAAGAACAUUUAAUUUCACACCAGGAGGAAGUAAUUGAACAGCCUCCUACGGUCGUUCCCCUCUCACCUACUUUCGUUCCAUUGUCCCCAACUUGGUUUUUGGAGAAUCAGAAUGAUACGAUCCCGGGCCAUAGCAUAUCCCUUGAGAUACCACGCAAUUUAGUCGUGCCUGAGGACUUUUUAAAUAAUUUCUCAGUGAUAGCAGAAACGCAUAAAAAAGCAGAAUAUAUUGAAGAUUCUGAACAUCUGGAACAGUACUUCAUGACAUCUUUCAGUGACCUAGCGUCAGACUCCGAAUUGUCUAAAA